ACACGGUGGAUGCCCUGGCAGUCAGAGGCGAUGAAGGGCGUGCUAAUCUGCGAUAAGCGCCGGUAAGGUGAUAUGAACCGUUAUAACCGGCGAUACCCGAAUGGGGAAACCCAGUGUGAUUCGUCACACUAUCAUUAACUGAAUCCAUAGGUUAAUGAGGCGAACCGGGGGAACUGAAACAUCUAAGUACCCCGAGGAAAAGAAAUCAACCGAGAUUCCCCCAGUAGCGGCGAGCGAACGGGGAGGAGCCCAGAGCCUGAAUCAGCAUGUGUGUUAGUGGAAGCGUCUGGAAAGGCGCGCGAUACAGGGUGACAGCCCCGUACACAAAAGCGCAUGUGCUGUGAGCUCGAUGAGUAGGGCGGGACACGUGGUAUCCUGUCUGAAUAUGGGGGGACCAUCCUCCAAGGCUAAAUACUCCUGACUGACCGAUAGUGAACCAGUACCGUGAGGGAAAGGCGAAAAGAACCCCGGCGAGGGGAGUGAAAAAGAACCUGAAACCGUGUACGUACAAGCAGUGGGAGCACCCUUCGGGGUGUGACUGCGUACCUUUUGUAUAAUGGGUCAGCGACUUAUAUUCUGUAGCAAGGUUAACCGUAUAGGGGAGCCGGAGGGAAACCGAGUCUUAAC
rnacentral:rRNA from 1 species